rnacentral:rRNA from 1 species
AGUGAACGCUGGCGGUAGGCCUAACACAUGCAAGUCGAACGGCAGCACAGUAAGCGCUUGCUCUUACGGGUGGCGAGUGGCGGACGGGUGAGGAAUACAUCGGAAUCUACUUUUUCGUGGGGGAUAACGUAGGGAAACUUACGCUAAUACCGCAUACGACCUACGGGUGAAAGCAGGGGAUCUUCGGACCUUUCGCGAUUGAAUGAGCCGAUGUCGGAUUAGCUAGUUGGCGGGGUAAAGGCCCACCAAGGCGACGAUCCGUAGCUGGUCUGAGAGGAUGAUCAGCCACACUGGAACUGAGACACGGUCCAGACUCCUACGGGAGGCAGCAGUGGGGAAUAUUGGACAAUGGGCGCAAGCCUGAUCCAGCCAUACCGCGUGGGUGAAGAAGGCCUUCGGGUUGUAAAGCCCUUUUGUUGGGAAAGAAAAGCAGCAGGUUAAUACCCCGCUGUUCUGACGGUACCCAAAGAAUAAGCACCGGCUAACUUCGUG